rnacentral:rRNA from 1 species
GGUUGCGAUCAUACCAGCACUGGAUCCCAUCAGAACUUCGCAGUUAAGCGUGCUUGGGCGAGAGUAGUACUAGGAUGGGUGACCCCCUGGGAAGUCCUCAUGUUGCAACCCU